rnacentral:tRNA from 1 species
AAUUGAUUAGUCUAAAAAGACGAGUGUUUUGAAAACACUAAAUGAUAAAUAAAUAUUAUCAUCAAUUU